UUGGAGGGCAAGUCUGGUGCCAGCAGCCGCGGUAAUUCCAGCUCCAAUAGCGUAUAUUAAAGUUGUUGCAGUUAAAAAGCUCGUAGUUGAAUUUCGGGAUCAAUUUGUUGGUCGUGCCUCGGUACGUACUGGCAUUAUUGGUUUCUACCUUCUGAAGAACCUUGAUGUCAUUAAUUUGGUGUCUUGGGGAAUCAGGACUGUUACUUUGAAAAAAUUAGAGUGUUAAAAGCAGGCAUACGCUUGAAUACAUUAGCAUGGAAUAAUGAAAUAGGACGUUUGAUUCUAUUUUGCUGGUUUCUAGGAUCGACGUAAUGAUUAAUAGGGAUAGUUGGGGGCAUUAGUAUUCAAUCGUCAGAGGUGAAAUUCUUGGAUUUAUUGAAGACUAACUACUGCGAAAGCAUUUGCCAAGGAUGUUUUCAUUAAUCAAGAACGAAAGUUAGGGGAUCGAAGACGAUCAGAUACCGUCGUAGUCUUAACCAUAAACUAUGCCGACUAGGGAUCGGAUGAUGUUAUUUUUAAUGACUCAUUCGGCGCCUUACGGGAAACCAAAGUGUUUGGGUUC
rnacentral:rRNA from 1 species